UUAGAUAUUUAGAUGUUUAGAUGUUUAGACCUUUAGAUGUUUAGGUGUUUAGAUGUUUAGGUGUUAAGGUGUUUAGAUGUUUAGACCUUUAGAUGUUUAGGUGUUUAGAUGUUUAGAUGUUUAGGUGUUUAGAUGUUUAGGUGUUUAGAUGUUUAGGUGUUUAGGUGUUUAGAUGUUUAGA